AUAUAUAUAUAUAUAUAUAGUUGGUAUUAAUUAUCUAGUUCACUAUGCACAAAAUAUAAAACAUAGAAUGUGUACUGGGAAAAUUUUUAAACUGAGAUCAGUGAAAACAUUUUAUAAAUCAAAUCAUACAAUAAAAACACAAACAAUAUGAUGCAGCCUCCCUGGUCUGAAUGUUCAUAUUGGCCAAAAGCCAUGUUCAGAGUUCUUAUUCUCCAAAAGGAUGUUCUGCAGAUGGGGCCUUUGAGACAAUUUGGUCAUGGGUGUUGACUACUCGUGAAUAGGACUUGUGCUUUCAUAAAAAGAGAUAUUAAAGAGCUCGUUGCCUGUUCCUGUUUCCACCAUGUCAGGACACGGCAGGAAGAUGGCUGGGCUAAACCAUGAAGAAUGCUCUCACCAGGAACCAAUUUGGCUGGCACCUUGCUCUUGGAUUUCCCACUUUCCAAAUUCAUGAGAAAUAAAUUUCUGUGUCUGAAGCCUCCCAGUUUAAGCUAUUUCUCUUUUUGUUUGUGUUUGAGACUGAGUCACAUACUAUCACCCAUGCUGGAGUGUAGUGGCAUGAUUUUCCCACCUCAGCCCGGAGUCUUACUUUGUUGCCUGGACUGGAGUGUAGUGGGGCAAUCUUGGCUCACUGCAACCUCCACCUCCCAGGUUCUAGUGAUUCUCCUGCCUCGGCCUCUCAAGUACUUGGGAUAACAGCCUUGCGCCACCACGCUCAGCUAAUUUUUGUAUUUUUAGUAGAGACGGGGUUUCAACAUGUUGGCCAGGCUGGUCUUGAACUCCUGACCUCAGGUGAUCUGCCCCUCUCGGCCUCCCAAAGUGCUGGGAUAACUGGCUUGAGCCACCGUGCCCGGCCAAAUUCUUGUAUUUAGUAGAUUUGAGGUUUCACCAUGCUGGCAAGACUGGUCUCAAACUCCUGACUUCAAGCGAUCUGCCCACCUUGGCAUCCCAAACUGUUGGGAUUAGAGGUGUGAGCCACCUCGGGUGGCCAGUCUAAGCUAUUUCUGACAGUGAAAUGACUGAGGCAGGAACAGGAGCAUCUCAUCAUCAACAUCACUGAAGGCUGACAAAUCUGAUUAAACAAAGGAAGUUUAGAGCCUGUACCAUAAAUCUUGCAAUACCUGAAGCCAUCUAUAGCAAUUACGUGUUUUAAAAACUUUGAGGCUGGCCAGGCAUGGUGGUUCACGCCUGUAAUCCCAGCACUUUGGGAGGCUGAGGCAGGAGGAUCACGAGGUCAGGAGA
rnacentral:lncRNA from 10 species